rnacentral:misc_RNA from 1 species
AAAUGCGAUAAGUAAUGUGAAUUGCAGAAUUCAGUGAAUCAUCGAAUCUUUGAACGCACCUUGCGCUCCUUGGUAUUCCUUGGAGCAUGCCUGUUUGAGUAUCAUGAAAUCUUCAAAGUAAAUCUUUUGUUAACUCAAUUGGCUUCUACUUUGGUAUUGGAGGUCUUUGCAGCUUCACACCUGCUCCUCUUUGUUCAUUAGCUGGAUCUCAGUGUUAUGCUUGGUUCCACUCGGCGUGAUAAGUUAUCUAUCGCUGAGGACACUGUAAAAGGUGGCCAAGGUAAAUGCAGAUGAACCGCUUCUAAUAGUCCAUUGACUUGGACAAUACUUUUAUGAUCUGAUCUCAAAUCAGGUAGGACUACCCGCUGAACUUAAGC